rnacentral:rRNA from 1 species
CCUACGGGUGGCAGCAGUGAGGAAUAUUGGGCAAUGCCCGAAAGGGUGACCCAGCAACGCCGCGUGGAGGAUGAAGUCCUUCUGGACGUAAACUCCUUUUAGAGGGGACGAAAAGCCCGAUUUGUCGGGAAUUGACGGUACCCUCAGAAAAGCACCGGCUAACUACGUGCCAGCAGCCGCGGUAAUACGUAGGGUGCAAGCGUUGUCCGGAUUCACUGGGUGUAAAGGGUGCGCAGGCGGGCUCUUAAGUCAAAGGUGAAAUCUCUCGGCUAAACCGAGAAAUUGCCUUGGAUACGGAGAGCCUUGAGUACGGGAGAGGGAGAGGGAAUUCCAGGUGUAGCGGUAAAAUGCGUAGAUAUCGGGAGGACCACCGGAGGCGAGGGCGGUCUCCGGGCCCGUAACUGACGCUCAGGCACGAAAGCGGGGGGAGCAAACAGGAUUAGAUACCCUGGUAGU